AAAUCCCAAAAAAAAAAAAAAAAAGACUACCCAAAUUUUGACUUCUUGAACCUCAGUUUCAUUUUAACUUGGAGACAUCUACCUUCUUUUUUGUCUCUAUUUUGAGUCUUAGAAUUGAUUGAUUCAACAUUGAAGCUAAGUGGUGCGAUCCAACAAUGGAGCAAAACAACAACAGCAGCAAAAGCAUCAACGACAUGCUCCCUCCAGAAUUGAUUACUCAAAUCUUAUUGAGACUUUCCGUCAAACACCUUGGGCGCGUCAAGAGUGUUUCCAAGUUUUGGAACAAUCUCAUCUCCAACCCCAAUUUCGCAAAAUCUCAUUUUGAACUCUCUCUGGCACCCACCCAUAGAUGCAUCUUCAUCCCAGAAGUUACAACUGAUCAUCGAUCCAUUGACCUCGAUGCACUAUCCCAUGCUACUUAUGCUGACGCUGCCGCUGCUACAAUAACAAAGAUUCCUCCUUCUCCUGCUGCUGCUGAUAUCGAUUCUGAUCCUGAUUAUGAUGAUCACAUCGUUCUUGGAUCAUGUCGAGGAUUCAUAGCUUUAUACCAAUACCCACACUUUUUCGUCAUAUGGAACCCGUUAACCGGAUCCCACAGAAUUAUUUCAUGCCAUCAUAUUGCGAAAAUUUCCGAUAUGGCUACUAAUUGUUAUUACUCCUUUGGCGGCGAGCUUCUCUUUGGAUUUGGGUACGACACAACCAGAGAUGAUUACUUGAUAGUUUUAGCUUGGAAUGAUGAAAAGAAGAAUCAAGAAGGCCACUUUGAUUUCUUCUCCUUGAGGUCCAAUUCUUGGAGUAGUUUUAAGGAGGAUGUUAUUAUUCCUGACCAACUAAAGAGGAGGAAAAAGUGGGCACCUUCGGUGUUCUUUAACGGGGCUAUUCAUUGGUUGAAUCAUGACGGUGAUUAUGAUGCUAUUGUUACUAUUUUUGUCUUUGAUACUAACAAAAGGAAGGGUUUUUUGGAGAUUCCAGUGCCAGAACAAGUAGGAAGGUAUUACCCUUGCCAUCUGACGGUACUGGGAGGGUGUUUAGCCUUGUAUUAUGAAAAAGAUGAUGAUGAUUAUGAUAAAUCUGUGAUAUGGGUGAUGAAAGAGUAUAAUGUGCAGUCUUCUUGGACUUCCUAUGAGAUUCCUAGCAGUUACUUUGAGCCUGUGUGCUUGUCUGAGGAUGGCGAUUUUAUAGGAUUCGAUGAAUCACCUGGAAUGUCGAAAUAUAAUGUUAGAGGAGAGAAGCUCAUGCGUUUUGAUCGUUCUUGUAAUCAAAUUGGGUACGUUUCGUAUACUGUUUAUACAGAGAGUCUCUUGAUGCUGCCUAAUGAUGGCUCUGAGGAGAAAGAAGGGAGUUCUUCAGUUAAAGGGACUGAAGAGAGCACCAACUUAGCCACUUGAUUGUUGUUUUAAGCUAAGUACAAUUUUUUUUUCAUAUAACACAAAAAUAAGGAGAAGGCGGUGGUGGCAGCGACAACAGAGACAGCGCAGCGAGGAUGACAACAACAUUGAAGAAAGAAGCGCGCAGAAGGAUAUGACGAAGGAGGAGAAAGAGGAAGAAUAAGAGCAGGAAGGAAAAAACUGAAAUCAAACACCUGUAUAGAAGAAAACUAGUGACAAAAUUAGAAAUGCACAUAGUAGAAGAAAGUUAAAUGGACAAUCAAAUCUAAUAAU